rnacentral:rRNA from 1 species
CCUACGGGUGGCAGCAGUGGGGAAUAUUGGGCAAUGGGCGCAAGCCUGACCCAGCAACGCCGCGUGAAGGAAGAAUGCCCUCGGGUUGUUAACUUCUUUUCUCAGAGACGUAGAGAGUGACGGUACCUGAUGAAUGAGCCACGGCUAAAUACGUGCCAGCAGCCGCGGUAAUACGUAGGUCGCGAUCGUUAUCCGGAUUUACUGGGUGUAAAGGGCGCGUAGGCGGGUAAGCAAGUCAGAUGUGAAAGCUACGGGCUCAACCGGUGGCUUGCAUUUGAUACUGGUUUUCUUGAGUACUGGAGAGGUAGGCGGAAUUCGUAGUGUAGCGGUGAAAUGCGUAGAUAUUAGGAGGAACACCAGUGGCGAAGGCAGCUUGCUAGACAGCCACUGACGUUGAGGCGCGAAAGUGUGGGGAGCAAACAGGAUUAGAUACCCCAGUAGUC